CAGCAGCCGCGGUAAUACGUAGGGUGCGAGCGUUAAUCGGAAUUACUGGGCGUAAAGCGUGCGCAGGCGGUUCGUUAAGACAGAUGUGAAAUCCCCGGGCUUAACCUGGGAACUGCAUUUGUGACUGACGGGCUAGAGUAUGGCAGAGGGGGGUAGAAUUCCACGUGUAGCAGUGAAAUGCGUAGAGAUGUGGAGGAAUACCGAUGGCGAAGGCAGCCCCCUGGGCCAAUACUGACGCUCAUGCACGAAAGCGUGGGGAGCAAACAGGAUUAGAUACCCCCGUAGUCCUGUCUCUUAUACA
rnacentral:rRNA from 1 species